UACAGAGGUGGCAAGCGUUGUUCGGAUUUACUGGGCGUAAAGGGUGCGUAGGCGGUUCUGUGUGUCGGGCGUGAAAUCUCGCUGCUCAACGGCGAAACUGCGUCCGAGACUGCGGAACUAGAGUGCAGGAGAGGAAAGCGGAAUUCUUGGUGUAGCGGUGGAAUGCGUUGAUAUCAAGAGGAACACCGGUGGCGAAGGCGGCUUUCUGGAAUGCAACUGACGCUGAGGCACGAAAGUUGGGGGAGCAAACAGGAUUAGAUACCCUGGUAGUCCCAACCGUAAACGGUGCACACUUGGUGUGGGGAGAUUUGACCCUCUCCGUGCCGUAGUCAACACGAUAAGUGUGCCGCCUGGGGAGUACGGCCGCAAGGCUA
rnacentral:rRNA from 1 species